rnacentral:lncRNA from 1 species
ACCUCUCUCCACCAGACACCUCAGUCAAACUCCGACCGAUAGACCUGGACCCCCUGGCAGGCCGCAGCAACAGCCAUGACUCUGCUCCACCUCCUGCGAUGGAUUCCAUGCGGCCCCAUCACUCCCUGACAGGCCAUAAUAAUGGCCACGAUCCUGAUCCACUUCCUGCAACGGAUACUGCGCGACUUUUCCAUUCUCUGGUAAGUCACGACAACGGACGCCGCUCCGCUCCCCGUGGCAGACUCCACGUAGCAUGCCCCGAUGAUAGCCACGGGUCCACUCCACUACUCCCCUCAACAAACUCCUCCUGACUCUGGGUGGCCCACUGUCAGA